UACAGAGGGUGCGAGCGUUGUUCGGAAUUAUUGGGCGUAAAGAGCUCGUAGGCGGCUUGUCGCGUCGGAUGUGAAAGCCCGGGGCUUAACUCCGGGUCUGCAUUCGAUACGGGCAGGCUAGAGUUCGGUAGGGGAGAUCGGAAUUCCUGGUGUAGCGGUGAAAUGCGCAGAUAUCAGGAGGAACACCGGUGGCGAAGGCGGAUCUCUGGGCCGAUACUGACGCUGAGGAGCGAAAGCGUGGGGAGCGAACAGG
rnacentral:rRNA from 1 species